rnacentral:tRNA from 1 species
GCCUGGGUGGCUCAAUCGGUUGAGCGUCCGACUUCGGCUCAGGUCGUGAUCUCGCACUCAGUGAGUUCAAGCCCCGCCUCAGGCU